rfam:Trichomonas vaginalis G3, whole genome shotgun sequence.
GUAGAUCUAUCUCAUGACGAGUGGUGGAAUACUUUGACUCAUGAGAGAGAAGCUGAGGCGAAGGCGUCUACCUAGAGGGUUCUGUCGAUCAAGGGCGAGAGUAGGAGUAUCCAACAGGAUUAGAGACCCUGGUAGUUCCUACCUUAAACGAUGCCGACAGGAGUUUGUCAUUUGUUAAUGGCAGAAUCUUUGGAGAAAUCAUAGUUCUUGGGCUCUGGGGGAACUACGACCGCAAGGCUGAAACUUGAAGGAAUUGACGGAAGGGCACACCAGGGGUGGAGCCUGUGGCUUAAUUUGAAUCAACACGGGGAAACUUACCAGGACCAGAUGUUUUUUAUGACUGACAGGCUUCGGGUCUUUCAGGAUAUUGUUUUUGGUGGUGCAUGGCCGUUGGUGGUGCGUGGGUUGACCUGUCUAGCGUUGAUUCAGCUAACGAGCGAGAUUAUCGCCAAUUAUUUACUUUGCCGAAGUCCUUCGGUUAAAGUUCUAAUUGGGACUCCCUGCGAUUUUAGCAGGUGGAAGAGGGUAGCAAUAACAGGUCCGUGAUGCCCUUUAGAUGCUCUGGGCUGCACGCGUGCUACAAUGUUAGGAUCAAUAGGACUGCGAGCCUGAGAGGGUGCGCUACUCUUAUAAUCCCUAACGUAGUUGGGAUUGACGUUUGUAAUCAGCGUCAUGAACCAGGAAUCCCUUGUAAAUGUGUGUCAACAACGCACGUUGAAUACGUCCCUGCCCUUUGUACACACCGCCCGUCGCUCCUACCGAUUGGAUGACUCGGUGAAAUCACCGGAUGCUUACGAGCAGAAAGUGAUUAAAUCACGUUAUCUAGAGGAAGGAGAAGUCGUAACAAGGUAACGGUAGGUGAACCUGCCGUUGGAUCAGUU